UACGGAGGGGGCUAGCGUUGUUCGGAAUUACUGGGCGUAAAAGCGCACGUAGGCGGAUCAGCCAGUCAGGGGGUGAAAUCCCCGGGGCUCAACCCCCGGAACUGCCUUUGAUACUGCUGGUCUGGAGUUCGGGAGAGGCGAGUGGAAUUCCGAGUGUAGAGGUGAAAUUUCGUAGAUAUUCGGAGGAACACCAGUGGCGAAGGCGGCUCACUGGCCCGAGACUGACGCUGAGGUGCGAAAGCGUGGGGAGCAAACAGGG
rnacentral:rRNA from 1 species